UUUUUGUAUUUUUUUAAACAGAGUAUUAUUUAUAUGAACUCAAAAUCACUAUACAUUUUUCAAGGCAACAUAUACGCAAAUUUAUGUACGGUGAGCUGUAAAGACACCUCCCCCCCUUUAAAUCACCAGGGUUGUGUGUCUGAGAAGGGGAAUGAAAUAGGACUGAGAAUAAGGAACGAAGGGAGAAAGAUAAAUAAAAACACAAGAAGGGCCUUGUACCGGCCCACAGCGGGACAAGAACUGAGAAUGAUGAUCAACUCAAUUCUGUGCACUUGAGGUUCUCGGGGGUGGGGGAGCCAGUUCCGAGCCAAAAUAUCCCACCCCCAGAGGGCAGCGGACCGCAGAGGUUCCCGCGCAGGCAGGACGGCGGCCUCGGCUGGGAGAAGCCGGAGUCCGCAACUCCCUCCCCCAUUCUCGCACCUGCUGGCAGCGGGGGGCUCCAAUGAAUGGACAAGUUCCAAGAAUUCUUGCCCCUUCCCCCACCUUUUACAUAGCCAAACCCUGGGACAAAAGGCGCCGGGGGUCUGGGGCUCCUUCCUUGGCUCCUGCCAGCUCCGGCCCUGUCCCUGCGGACUGGGACUGGCUUCAGACGAAAUGAGUGUUGGUUGUCUCUAACUGGCAUUUUUUGCCUCUCUGAUAGCCUCCAGAAGGGCUGCGACUUCCUUUUAUGGACCAACAUGUGAAAAGACAUCUUUCGCUAGGCAAUUAAACUCUGUGCCUUAGGCUACCUCCUGCCUUAGAUGGAAAAACAAAAUACAGCCAGGGAGGUCAUGGUUCUAGUCAGCCCAGCCAGCCCUCAACCUCAAGGGGCCCAGUAGAUCCGUCCCUUGAAGGGCUUGGAAGACACCCAACAAAUGACAAUACAAAAUGCUUCCUUUGUUCAUUUACCAAAACACAAAGAUAAAUACAUAAGUAUGUAAGUACUUAUCUACAUAUUAUGGUCUUUGACUAAACAAUUCUACUUCUUGAAUCUUACAGAAAUGUUUGCACUAUAUGUGCAAAUGUGUCUCAUGAAUGUUCGUAAUAGUGAAAAGUGGAAACAACCUAAAUGUCCAAUUGCAAGGGAUUGCUUAAAUACAUUAUUGUAUUCCCGAUAAUAAAAUAUUCUGCAGCUGUUAAAAGGUGUGAGGUAUGUGCUGAGGAAAGAGAUCCAUGACAUU